GACGAACGCUGGCGGCGUGCUUAACACAUGCAAGUCGAACGGAAAGGCCCUGCUUUUGUGGGGUGCUCGAGUGGCGAACGGGUGAGUAACACGUGAGUAACCUGCCCUUGACUUUGGGAUAACUUCAGGAAACUGGGGCUAAUACCGGAUAGGAGCUCCUGCUGCAUGGUGGGGGUUGGAAAGUUUCGGCGGUUGGGGAUGGACUCGCGGCUUAUCAGCUUGUUUGUGGGGUAGUGGCUUACCAAGGCUUUGACGGGUAGCCGGCCUGAGAGGGUGAACGGCCACAAUGGGACUGAGAGACGGCCCAGACGCCUACGGGAGGCAGCAGUGGGGAAUAUUGCACAAUGGGCGGAAGCCUGAUGCAGCAGCGCCGCGUGCGGGAUGACGGGCUUCGGGUUGUAAACCGAUUUCGAAUGUGACGAAGCGUGAGUGACGGUAAUGGGUAAAGAAGCAACGGCUAACUACGUG
rnacentral:rRNA from 1 species